CUGAGAACACCAAGAGUUGAAGGUUGAAUCUUCUGUCAAAAACUGAGAGAACGGUAAUUUUCACUUUCACAAAAAAAAUCGCUUCACUUGGACGUCGCAGUAGUUUGCCCAUACAAUACCAUCAUGAGUGGUGCAGUCAGAGAGAUCACUGUAACUACUGAUCCAGGCACCCCGUACUUCCUGCGAGUGGACUGGGCCGUAGAUCUGGGUGCUGGGUUCACACUGGCCCUCACUGAUGGCAACUCAGCAUGGAUCGGAGAAGUUUCAGAAGAUGAGGUGACAAGGGAAGCCAACGAUAUUGGAAGCACGAGGGAAAGAUAUGUUGAGGAUCUUCUUCAAGCACUAACAGGAGGUGAAGGGGGAAGAGGAGGAGGAAGGAGAAGAGGCAACAAGGAGGUGUAUUCUUUCCACCUCUCUCCAGAUCACUGUCAUCUCUCAUAUCUGAAGAUCUGUAAUGACAUCUCGGUGCACUUGGGUUCUGUGCAGCUCCAGCCAGCUCCAGACUCUCUAGAGCUUAACCGAGAGAUGAUUGGAGAGUCCCUAAAGCGCGGUACGGAUCUGGGAUCAGAAAAUUGCCAGCUGUUGGAGGAGAACUGUAGACUGAAACAGGAGCACCAGAGAAUACUCAGAGAGCUGGAGCAGCAGGUUCAGGAUAAGGAAAUGUUGGAGAGAGAGCUGUACUCACGUUUUGUGAUGGUUCUGAACGAGAAGAAGGCCAAGAUCCGAGAGCUGCAGGAUGCUGUCCUCCAGCUCCAAAAGGCCGAUGACCAACAGAGAGAUGAGGAGGGGAGACAAAGUAACAAUGGUGGAGAUGACAUUCAGGACAGAAGAGAUGAAACAGUUCAGAGCAUCCAUCCAUCUCAGGAGUCAACUAUCCUCAUCACAGGUCGUAAUCUGGUGUGCCAGGGGAUCUCUGUGGACCAGACUUUUUCCGAUGAUGAAGAUAAACAACCGAGACGGAAGCGGAGAUUUCUUAACACACUGAGCCCAGAGCCUUCUGAGCAGGAAUAAAACCGCAGAAGUGUCUCCUGAACAUCCGGCUCAAACAUACAGUGUUGUGAGAUAGAUGACAUCCAGGGCUCAUCGUGAACAUGAUUAAAGCCCUAAAUCUACGGAUUUUAUGAUUUUUUAUCCAGAUAUGUGGGAAGCUACUUUCGGCUAGUCAACCCUCACCUCGAUACACACAACCAAAACAUUGACAACCAGGCGACAUUGUCCUGGAGGUGUCACCACAUUUGAUGCCAGAUUUCGUCCCAGAUUGUGAAAGUAAUUUCAGAAAGACAGAGUAUGUUACUGCCAUCUGGUUUGCUUUAACUGUGACAAUUACCUGCCACAGCUCUCAUGAGAGACGUGCUGCUCGUCUCUCCCCUUCAAUAAAUCAAAAGACGAAUAGUUAAUGACACUAUCUUUUCCCAAGCACUCCCGACCGCAUGCUCUGUUUGGUGCUGGCGUCAAGACUUUGUCGCCCAGAUGCGUCAGUGGUCAUGUGACAACAGGCACUUAACACCCUCCAGCGCUUCCAUUGCUGUUAAUGACUUGGAGAAUUUGGUAGAGAGUCUGGACCAGGAGUAUGGAGUUUGACUUCGCCCUGAGCUCGAAUUUGGAUGCCAAGCCCCUGUGCCUUGGCUUAUGUGAGACCAGAGAAAGAGUAACAACUACUGAGGGACAACAGGCUACACCCAGAAAACAGGGUGUCACCACCAAGGAGCCGAAGCUGCUUUGUUGCUGCUUAUUCAUCAUGUCAUUGCUUAUGUUUCCAUCCCUCUUUUCAUUAUGAAAAUAAACUAGAUGGCAUCUCUUUAAUUUCCCCCUUUUAAACUAGCAUUUUGCGAACAAUAAUUUCACCUGCCCCCUUUUUUCAUUUUCAUCUGCCCUUUUAUUCUGCAAAUGUUCCGUGGCCCAAACUACCUGGGGGGUGUUUUGCCGAAGGUUAAUAGGGUUAUGUUGUCUCUCACUCUCUUCAUCUCCUCACCUCUUCCAUUACCCAUGCUUCCAGCUCUAGGUCCUGAGGUCAUCACAGUGUGUCUUCACACUGACUGUAAUGAACUUAUGGAGACCUAUUCAGGGUAUUUAUCUGACCAUUUUACCUUUGACUUCUGGAUAUUCCUGCUGUCUUUUAUGAUUUUGAUGAUACCUACAUGUCUGCUGAAGACCACGGGUGGUAGCCAAGAUAAUCCCACAACACGCGCUUGCUGGUUAAUCCCCAGGAGAAUGUCAGACUCUCUCCUCUAUGCAUCCCAUUAAUACGGCAUUUUCUAAAGGUCCAGAAGUCCAGAUCAGUUUCUAAGGAUUAUUUACAGAUAAGUGCAUGACAUUGUGCGAUGUAGGAUGACACAAAGUGUUAAAGAUCAGGAGACUAAACUGAAAAAUUCAGUCAGUGGUUUCAUUCAGAAUAUUACGAUAACAUGCUCAGUUAUUAAAUGCAGUAUAUUCUCAAACAUGCCUAUUUGUGUUCUUUGUAACCCUAAAGUUACAGUACCACGUGGCCUUCGAGCAAGGGCUUCGAGAUCAAUGGGCUACAGCAGCCCAUGCAGCUAAGGGGUUAACAUUGUUUGUGAGAGAGCGAUGAUGGCUGUGCCAGGCUGAAUUAAAUGUUUAGUCACUUGCUUAUCAUCGUCAUUCACUUACUGCGUGCACCUGUAGGUUUCUCAUCAUCCAGGGAAAAGACAGGAUUCUUCCUGCUUUCCCGCCACAGAGCUACAGUGAGACAGAGCGGUCUUUGUCUGUUGCUAGGCUGUGCUGCUUCACCGACCUCACACUGUAAUGUCUGAAAUAACUUGGCUUUACACAAGCAAUGUUUGAAAACUGAAGAUGACAACGUAUUUGGGAAUUUAUCAUCAAAUAGACUCUUAUGAGUUCAGUUUACUCACCCUUCAGACACAUUGGGCUGAUUGGUGUCUGCCUACACUUAAGAUUAUUGCACUCACUUGCUGUGUGAAUCAACUAAAUUUUGUGAUUCCGUAGAGCAAUAAACUUUUUAUAAAGACUA